GAUCCUGGCUCAGAAUCAACGCUGGCGGCGUGCCUAACACAUGCAAGUCGAACGAGAAAGUGGUAGCAAUACCAUGAGUAAAGUGGCGCACGGGUGAGUAACACGUGACUAACCUACCCUGGAGUGGGGGAUAACUGAGGGAAACCUUAGCUAAUACCGCAUAAUACCCACGGGUCAAAGGAGCAAUUCGCUUUGGGAGGGGGUCGCGGCCGAUUAGUUAGUUGGCGGGGUAAUGGCCCACCAAGACGAUGAUCGGUAUCCGGCCUGAGAGGGCGCACGGACACACUGGAACUGAAACACGGUCCAGACUCCUACGGGAGGCAGCAGUGGGGAAUUUUGCGCAAUGGGGGAAACCCUGACGCAGCAACGCCGCGUGGAGGAUGAAGUCCUUCGGGACGUAAACUCCUUUCGAUCGGGACGAUAAUGACGGUACCGGAAGAAGAAGCCCCGGCUAACUUCGUGCCAGCAGCCGCGGUAAUACGAGGGGGGCGAGCGUUGUUCGGAAUUAUUGGGCGUAAAGGGUGCGUAGGCGGCUUGGUAAGUCUUAUGUGAAAUCUAUGGGCUCAACUCAUAGACUGCAUGAGAAACUGCCGGGCUCGAGUGUGGGAGAGGUGAGUGGAAUUUCCGGUGUAGCGGUGAAAUGCGUAGAUAUCGGAAGGAACACCUGUGGCGAAAGCGGCUCACUGGACC
rnacentral:rRNA from 1 species